rnacentral:rRNA from 1 species
GGUUAAGCGACUAAGCGUACACGGUGGAUGCCCUGGCAGUCAGAGGCGAUGAAGGACGUGCUAAUCUGCGAAAAGCGUCGGUAAGGUGAUAUGAACCGUUAUAACCGGCGAUGUCCGAAUGGGGAAACCCAGUGUGUUUCGACACACUAUCAUUAACUGAAUCCAUAGGUUAAUGAGGCGAACCGGGGGAACUGAAACAUCUAAGUACCCCGAGGAAAAGAAAUCAACCGAGAUUCCCCCAGUAGCGGCGAGCGAACGGGGAGGAGCCCAGAGCCUGAAUCAGUGUGUGUGUUAGUGGAAGCGUCUGGAAAGGCGCGCGAUACAGGGUGACAGCCCCGUACACAAAAAUGCACAUGCUGUGAGCUCGAUGAGUAGGGCGGGACACGUGGUAUCCUGUCUGAAUAUGGGGGGACCAUCCUCCAAGGCUAAAUACUCCUGACUGACCGAUAGUGAACCAGUACCGUGAGGGAAAGGCGAAAAGAACCCCGGCGAGGGGAGUGAAAAAGAACCUGAAACCGUGUACGUACAAGCAGUGGGAGCCCUGAUUUAUCAGGGUGACUGCGUACCUUUUGUAUAAUGGGUCAGCGACUUAUAUUCUGUAGCAAGGUUAACCGAAUAGGGGAGCCGGAGGGAAACCGAGUCUUAACUGGGCGUUAAGUUGCAGGGUAUAGACCCGAAACCCGGUGAUCUAGCCAUGGGCAGGUUGAAGGUUGGGUAACACUAACUGGAGGACCGAACCGACUAAUGUUGAAAAAUUAGCGGAUGACUUGUGGCUGGGGGUGAAAGGCCAAUCAAACCGGGAGAUAGCUGGUUCUCCCCGAAAGCUAUUUAGGUAGCGCCUCGUGAAUUCAUCUCCGGGGGUAGAGCACUGUUUCGGCAAGGGGGUCAUCCCGACUUACCAACCCGAUGCAAACUGCGAAUACCGGAGAAUGUUAUCACGGGAGACACACGGCGGGUGCUAACGUCCGUCGUGAAGAGGGAAACAACCCAGACCGCCAGCUAAGGUCCCAAAGUCAUGGUUAAGUGGGAAACGAUGUGGGAAGGCCCAGACAGCCAGGAUGUUGGCUUAGAGCAGCCAUCAUUUAAAGAAAGCAGCCAUCAUUUAAAGAAAGCGUAAUAGCUCACUGGUCGAGUCGGCCUGCGCGGAAGAUGUAACGGGGCUAAACCAUGCACCGAAGCUGCGGCAGCGACACUGUGUGUUGUUGGGUAGGGGAGCGUUCUGUAAGCCUGCGAAGGUGUGCUGUGAGGUAUGCUGGAGGUAUCAGAAGUGCGAAUGCUGACAUAAGUAACGAUAAAGCGGGUGAAAAGCCCGCUCGCCGGAAGACCAAGGGUUCCUGUCCAACGUUAAUCGGGGCAGGGUGAGUCGACCCCUAAGGCGAGGCCGAAAGGCGUAGUCGAUGGGAAACAGGUUAAUAUUCCUGUACUUGGUGUUACUGCGAAGGGGGGACGGAGAAGGCUAUGUUGGCCGGGCGACGGUUGUCCCGGUUUAAGCGUGUAGGCUGGUUUUCCAGGCAAAUCCGGAAAAUCAAGGCUGAGGCGUGAUGACGAGGCACUACGGUGCUGAAGCGACAAAUGCCCUGCUUCCAGGAAAAGCCUCUAAGCAUCAGGUAACAUCAAAUCGUACCCCAAACCGACACAGGUGGUCAGGUAGAGAAUACCAAGGCGCUUGAGAGAACUCGGGUGAAGGAACUAGGCAAAAUGGUGCCGUAACUUCGGGAGAAGGCACGCUGAUAUGUAGGUGAAGCGACUUGCUCGUGGAGCUGAAAUCAGUCGAAGAUACCAGCUGGCUGCAACUGUUUAUUAAAAACACAGCACUGUGCAAACACGAAAGUGGACGUAUACGGUGUGACGCCUGCCCGGUGCCGGAAGGUUAAUUGAUGGGGUCAGCGCAAGCGAAGCUCUUGAUCGAAGCCCCGGUAAACGGCGGCCGUAACUAUAACGGUCCUAAGGUAGCGAAAUUCCUUGUCGGGUAAGUUCCGACCUGCACGAAUGGCGUAAUGAUGGCCAGGCUGUCUCCACCCGAGACUCAGUGAAAUUGAACUCGCUGUGAAGAUGCAGUGUACCCGCGGCAAGACGGAAAGACCCCGUGAACCUUUACUAUAGCUUGACACUGAACACUGGUCCUUGAUGUGUAGGAUAGGUGGGAGGCUUUGAAGUGUGGACGCCAGUCUGCAUGGAGCCGUCCUUGAAAUACCACCCUUUAAUGGCUGGUGUUCUAACGUGGGCCCGUAAUCCGGGUUGCGGACAGUGUCUGGUGGGUAGUUUGACUGGGGCGGUCUCCUCCUAAAGAGUAACGGAGGAGCACGAAGGUUGGCUAAUCCUGGUCGGACAUCAGGAGGUUAGUGCAAUGGCAUAAGCCAGCUUGACUGCGAGCGUGACGGCGCGAGCAGGUGCGAAAGCAGGUCAUAGUGAUCCGGUGGUUCUGAAUGGAAGGGCCAUCGCUCAACGGAUAAAAGGUACUCCGGGGAUAACAGGCUGAUACCGCCCAAGAGUUCAUAUCGACGGCGGUGUUUGGCACCUCGAUGUCGGCUCAUCACAUCCUGGGGCUGAAGUAGGUCCCAAGGGUAUGGCUGUUCGCCAUUUAAAGUGGUACGCGAGCUGGGUUUAGAACGUCGUGAGACAGUUCGGUCCCUAUCUGCCGUGGGCGCUGGAGAACUGAGGGGGGCUGCUCCUAGUACGAGAGGACCGGAGUGGACGCAUCACUGGUGUUCGGGUUGUCAUGCCAAUGGCACUGCCCGGUAGCUAAAUGCGGAAGAGAUAAGUGCUGAAAGCAUCUAAGCACGAAACUUGCCCCGAGAUGAGUUCUCCCUGAGACUUAGAGUCUCCUGAAGGAACGUUGAAGACGACGACGUUGAUAGGCCGGGUGUGUAAGCGCAGCGAUGCGUUGAGCUAACCGGUACUAAUGAACCGUGAGGCUUAACCUU